AUGUCAGGCGUCGCCGCUUCUAUCAUGCCUGGAGGCAGGACUGCCCACUCGAGGUUCAAGAUCCCAUUGAGCUGCGACGAUGGCGCCUCAUGCACCUUCACGAAGCAGAGUGGUACCACCAAGCUACUGAGGAUGGCCUCAUUGAUACUAUGGGAUGAGGCCACCAUGACUAAGCGACAGGCGGUUGAGGCACUGGACAAUAGCAUGCGCGACAUCAAGGGAAGACGGGACCGACCCUUUGGAGGAAAAACUGUUGUGUUUGGCGGGGACUUCAGGUAG
rnacentral:rRNA from 1 species